rnacentral:tRNA from 1 species
CCGACCUUAGCUCAGUUGGUAGAGCGGAGGACUGUAGUAUGUGCAGAUUAAAUCCUUAGGUCGCUGGUUCGAAUCCGGCAGGUCGGA